CAAUUUUCUUCUUCAACCUCCAGCCUGUGUCUUGCGGUCUCAUCACUGUUCCCCAUUCUCAUCCUCAUUCCACACACAGACAGAACUCACUCGCUCACUCACUUUUGGCACUUAGCUACUGAGUUGCCCUUGCUCGAGUUGGCACUGACUCGACCUCGGCUCAGCUCACAAGCACUCCAUAUCCUCCCCCCUCUCUCUCUCUCUCUCUGUAGUCUGUCCUCAGUUUGGAGCUCAGGCAUUGCAUUAAUGGAGCUCUCCAUCUCUCUCCCGGGCCUCUCUCUGUUUCUGCUGCUGCUCCUCUCAGCUAUGGCGGCUCCUCCAAUGGUGGCCGGGAUCGGGAUCAACUACGGCCAAAUUGCGAACAACCUGCCCUCACCCGAGCAAGUGGUUCCGCUCGUCAAGUCCAUUGGGGCCACCAAGGUCAAGCUCUACGAUGCUGACCCGAAGGUCCUGUGCGCGUUUGCGAAGACGGGCAUUGAGUUCACGGUGGGACUGGGCAAUGAGUACCUGGCCCAGAUGCGGAACCUCGACCGUGCCCGGGCCUGGGUUAAGAACAAAGUCCAGGCCUUCCUGCCCGACACCAAAAUUACCUGCAUUGCCGUUGGUAACGAGGUGCUCACAUCCAACAAUACCGUCCUCGUUGAGAGCAUUGUCCCGGUGAUGGAAAAUGUCCAUACUUCCCUCGUCGAGCUCGGGCUCGAUAAACAGGUCACUGUCACCACUGCCCACUCCAUCGCUGUGCUUGAGACAUCCUACCCACCCUCGACCGGCAGGUUCCGACGGGAUCUGACAGGGUGCAUGACCAAGGUCUUGGACUUCCAGUGCAGGACCGGCUCGCCGUUCCUGAUAAACGCCUACCCGUACUUUGCCUACCAGGCCAGCCCCAAGCAGGUCACCCUGGAUUUUGUGCUGUUCCAGUCGAGCCAGGGGAUCCUGGACACAUCGACCAACCUGCAUUACGAAAACAUGUUAUUUGCCCAAAUCGAUGCCAUGUACUCGGCCCUGAGCGCCAUUGGAUACAAGAACUUGACUGUCCAUGUGUCCGAGACCGGGUGGCCAUCAAAAGGAGACGCAAAUGAGGUCGGAGCAACACCAGAGAAUGCAAAGAAGUACAAUGGGAAUCUGAUGAAGAUCGUGUCCCAGAAGAAGGGUACACCAAUGAGACCGGACCACGAGUUCAACCUCUACGUCUUCGCCCUCUUCAAUGAAAACCUGAAGCCCGGACCCACCUCGGAGAGGUACUACGGUCUGUUCAACCCCGACGGCACCCCGGUCUAUUCCCUGGGAAUUCCUGCAAAGGACGGCAACAGCAACAGCAACACCACCAGCUCCGGUGGCAGCGGAGGAGGCUCAGCCAUUUGGCCACCACCCCCAAACGGCUACCUUUCGAUCACUUCCAGCUCGGGAAGGACGGAACCGGCAGGUGCAUCUGUUGUACUGGGCCUGGCAUUGCUUAAGCUGUUCUUUUUGUAUCGAAUUUAUUGAGCAGUUGAUCUAUGUGAUACAAAGUGUAAUCGAAAUUGAGCGAUGUUGGAGCUUUGGGGGAAAGGAAAGGCAAAUAAUGGGCUACUUUGCUAAUCCUGAAAGGAUAUUUAUGGGGGUGAAGAAUUCAAUGUGUCAAUAAUUUUAGAUUGCCAGCGGCAGAGAUUGCGGAAAGAUUUAGGUAAAGGGUGUGAUGGUAGAUGAUGUAUUUGUCUUUUUGUAGGAUAGCUGCCCUCUUUCUUGUUAUGAGGCUACGAACCUGUUUGGUCAGUUAAGUAAUUGGAGGUUUUUUUUUUUUUUUC